rnacentral:rRNA from 1 species
UAAUACUGUUGUAGUUAAAACGCCCGUAGUAAACCAAAGGGUCAUAGUUAUUGAUCUGACCAGUUCUGUUCGUCAUAGUCAGCCACGUAUUGUGGCUGAUUGGAUGAAUAAGGACAGGUCCUCGGUCUCUAACGGAAGCGAAAGGGUUCGCCCAACUAGCAUCCGCCAUGGGAUAGGUCAGUGAUUAUGGCUCGCUCCCUGUCAGUCCGCAAGGUCUGAUAGGGCCAUUUGGCACAACCGUAAACAAAUCAGAGUGCUCCAAGCAGGCAAUGUUAGGGGUAACCCAUUUGCUUGAAUGAUUUAGCAUGGAAUUGUCACGAAGCCGAUCGGAAACUUUGAGGGUUUACCUGAGAAGUGGAAGAUCCGGCGCUCGCAAUGAGACACUGGUAGAGGAUCCAAGUACUAUGGCGCGAGAGGUGAAAUUCAGUGACCGCCAUAUGACUAUCUAAUGCGAAAGCAGUUGUGAUCCAGAACGUGUCUGUCAAUCAGGGACGAAAGUUAAGGGAUCGAAGAUGAUUAGAUACCGUCGUAGUCUUAACCGUAAACGAUACCAACACGAGAUUGGUAGUGAGACUUUUAGAUCCUAUCAGAAUCCAAGGGAAACCGUUAAGUUUUUGGGUUCUGGGGGGAGUAUGGUCGCAAGGCUGAAACUUAAAGGAAUUGACGGAAAGGCACCACCAGGAGUGGAGUAUGCGGCUUAAUUCGACUCAACGCGGGGAAACUCACCAAGUUAGGAUGUGAAUAUGAUUGACAGAUUAAGGUUCUUUCUUGAUUUUACAGAAGGUGGUGCAUGGUCGUUCUUAGUUCGUGGAGUGAUUCGUCUUGUUAAUUCAGUUAACGAGCGAGACCUUAACUUGCUAAUUAAGGUACAGGGACUUCUUCGGUUGUCCGUCGUUUCGUUGAGGAAGUGUAUACUUUCUCAGGAAAUCUGUACUGUCGCUGGUUCGCCAGUGAUGCUUCUUAGAGGUACAGCACCCGUCCAGGGUGAGGAAGUUUAAGGCAAUAACAGAUCUGUGAUGCCCUUAGAUAUCUUGGGCUGCACGCGUACUACAAUAUUAAUAGCAACAAGUAACGUAGAGUCAUUCUUCGGAAUGCAACCCUGGUCCGAAAGGAUUGGGAAAUCUUAUCAAAGAUUAAUGUGACAGGGAUCGAGGUUUGUAAAUCCUCGUGAACGAGGAAUUCCUAGUAAGCAUGAUUCAUCAUGUCGUAUUGGCUUCGUCCCUGCCUUUUGUACACACCGCCCGUCGCUCGUACCGACUGAAUAGAGGUAUGAAUUUGAUGGACCAGCGUGGCGUUAAGCCAUGCGAGAAAAUCAACUGAAUUUCUCUAUU